rnacentral:misc_RNA from 1 species
AGCAGCCGCGGUAAUUCCAGCUCCAAUAGCGUAUAUUAAAGUUGUUGCAGUUAAAAGCUCGUAGUUGAAUUUCGAGAUCAAAUUGUUGGUCGUGCCUUGGUACGCACUGGCAUUAUUGGUUUCUCCCUUCUGACGAACCAUGAUGUCAUUAAUUUGGUGUCUUGGGGAAUCAGGACUGUUACUUUGAAAAAUUGAGUGUUUAAAGCAGGCUCACGCUUGAAUACAUUAGCAUGGAAUAAUGAAAUAGGACGUUUGAUUCUAUUUUGUUGGUUUCUAGGAUCGACGUAAUGAUUAAUAGGGAUAGUUGGGGGCAUUAGUAUUCAAUUGUCAGAGGUGAAAUUCUUGGAUUUAUUGAAGACUAACUACUGCGAAAGCAUUUGCCAAGGAUGUUUUCAUUAAUCAAGAACGAAAGCUAGGGGAUCGAAGACGAUCAGAUACCGUCGUAGUCUUAACCAUAAACUAUGCCGACUAGGGAUCGGAUGAUGUUAAUUUUUAAUGUACUCU